rnacentral:rRNA from 1 species
GAUGAACGCUAGCGACAGGCUUAACACAUGCAAGUCGAGGGGCAGCAUAAAAGUAGCAAUACUUUGGUGGCGACCGGCACACGGGUGAGUAACGCGUAUGCAACCUACAUAUCAGAGGGGAAUAACCCGGCGAAAGUCGGACUAAUACCGCAUACAACAGGGGCACCGCAUGGUGAUAUUUGUUAACGAAAUUCGCUGAUAGAUGGGCAUGCGUUCCAUUAGGUAGUUGGUGAGGUAACGGCUCACCAAGGCGACGAUGGAUAGGGGAGCUGGGAGGUUGGUCCCCCACACUGGUACUGAGACACGGACCAGACUCCUACGGGAGGCAGCAGUGAGGAAUAUUGGUCAAUGGGCGAGAGCCUGAACCAGCCAAGUCGCGUGAAGGAAGAAGGAUCUAUGGUUCGUAAACUUCUUUUGCAGGGGAAUAAAGUGCAGGACGUGUCCUGUUUUGUAUGUACCCUGAGAAUAAGGAUCGGCUAACUCCGUGCCAGCCGCCGCCGUAA